GAUGAACGCUGGCGGCGUGCCUAAUACAUGCAAGUCGAGCGAACGGACGAGAAGCUUGCUUCUCUGAUGUUAGCGGCGGACGGGUGAGUAACACGUGGAUAACCUACCUAUAAGACUGGGAUAACUUCGGGAAACCGGAGCUAAUACCGGAUAAUAUUUUGAACCGCAUGGUUCAAAAGUGAAAGACGGUCUUGCUGUCACUUAUAGAUGGAUCCGCGCUGCAUUAGCUAGUUGGUAAGGUAACGGCUUACCAAGGCAACGAUGCAUAGCCGACCUGAGAGGGUGAUCGGCCACACUGGAACUGAGACACGGUCCAGACUCCUACGGGAGGCAGCAGUAGGGAAUCUUCCGCAAUGGGCGAAAGCCUGACGGAGCAACGCCGCGUGAGUGAUGAAGGUCUUCGGAUCGUGAAACUCUGUUAUUAGGGAAGAACAUAUGUGUAAGUAACUGUGCACAUCUUGACGGUACCUAAUCAGAAAGCCACGGCUAACUACGUGCCAGCAGCCGCGGUAAUACGUAGGUGGCAAGCGUUAUCCGGGAUUAUUGGGCGUAAAGCGCGCGUAGGCGGUUUUUUAGUCUGAUGUGAAAGCCCACGGCUCAACCGUGGAGGGUCAUUGGAAACUGGAAAACUUGAGUGCAGAAGAGGAAAGUGGAAUUCCAUGUGUAGCGGUGAAAUGCGCAGAGAUAUGGAGGAACACCAGUGGCGAAGGCGACUUUCUGGUCUGUAACUGACGCUGAUGUGCGAAAGCGUGGGGAUCAAACAGGAUUAGAUACCCUGGUAGUCCACGCCGUAAACGAUGAGUGCUAAGUGUUAGGGGGUUUCCGCCCCUUAGUGCUGCAGCUAACGCAUUAAGCACUCCGCCUGGGGAGUACGACCGCAAGGUUGAAACUCAAAGGAAUUGACGGGGACCCGCACAAGCGGUGGAGCAUGUGGUUUAAUUCGAAGCAACGCGAAGAACCUUACCAAAUCUUGACAUCCUUUGACAACUCUAGAGAUAGAGCCUUCCCCUUCGGGGGACAAAGUGACAGGUGGUGCAUGGUUGUCGUCAGCUCGUGUCGUGAGAUGUUGGGUUAAGUCCCGCAACGAGCGCAACCCUUAAGCUUAGUUGCCAUCAUUAAGUUGGGCACUCUAAGUUGACUGCCGGUGACAAACCGGAGGAAGGUGGGGAUGACGUCAAAUCAUCAUGCCCCUUAUGAUUUGGGCUACACACGUGCUACAAUGGACAAUANCAAGGGCAGCGAAACCGCGAGGUCAAGCCAAUCCCANUAAGUUGUUCUCAGUUCGGAUUGUAGUCUGCAGCUCGACUACAUGAAGCUGGAAUCGCUAAGUAUCGUAGAUCAGCAUGCUACGGUGAAUACGUUCCCGGGUCU
rnacentral:rRNA from 1 species